rnacentral:rRNA from 1 species
UACGGAGGGUGCAAACGCUGCUCGGAAUCAUUGGGCGUAAAGCGCACGUAGGCGGCCUGAUAAGUCGGAUGUGAAAUCCCUCGGCUCAACUGAGGACGUGCAUUCGAAACUGCCAGGCUCGAGUAUGGAAGAGGGUCGCGGAAUUCCCGGUGUAGAGGUGAAAUUCGUAGAUAUCGGGAGGAACACCAGUGGCGAAGGCGGCGACCUGGGCCAAUACUGACGCUGAGGUGCGAAAGCGUGGGGAGCAAACAGG